AGAGUUUGAUCCUGGCUCAGAGCGAACGCUGGCGGCAGGCCUAACACAUGCAAGUCGAACGAACUCUUCGGAGUUAGUGGCGGACGGGUGAGUAACACGUGGGAACGUGCCUUUAGGUUCGGAAUAACUCAGGGAAACUUGUGCUAAUACCGAAUGUGCCCUUCGGGGGAAAGAUUUAUCGCCUUUAGAGCGGCCCGCGUCUGAUUAGCUUGUUGGUGAGGUAAUGGCUCACCAAGGCUUCGAUCAGUAGCUGGUCUGAGAGGAUGACCAGCCACAUUGGGACUGAGACACGGCCCAAACUCCUACGGGAGGCAGCAGUGGGGAAUCUUGCGCAAUGGGCGAAAGCCUGACGCAGCCAUGCCGCGUGAAUGAUGAAGGUCUUAGGAUUGUAAAAUUCUUUCACCGGGGACGAUAAUGACGGUACCCGGAGAAGAAGCCCCGGCUAACUUCGUGCCAGCAGCCGCGGUAAUACGAAGGGGGCUAGCGUUGCUCGGAAUUACUGGGCGUAAAGGGCGCGUAGGCGGACAUUUAAGUCAGGGGUGAAAUCCCAGAGCUCAACUCUGGAACUGCCUUUGAUACUGGGUGUCUUGAGUGUGAGAGAGGUAUGUGGAACUCCGAGUGUAGAGGUGAAAUUCGUAGAUAUUCGGAAGAACACCAGUGGCGAAGGCGACAUACUGGCUCAUUACUGACGCUGAGGCGCGAAAGCGUGGGGAGCAAACAGGAUUAGAUACCCUAGUAGUCC
rnacentral:rRNA from 1 species